UCUUGUACAUAUUAUUCAUUUGCUUUUGCCCUUUGCUCAUUUGAGCACAUGUUUAUGUUAAUGCAAUUUGCCUUUUGCUCACUUGAGCACAUAAUUGUGUAUAUACUAUUGUGCUUGUGUUUUAUUUUGAUUGUUGUGAACCAAUUGCAAAUGGACAAAAAGGACUUAGACUUUAGGACAUUCCCUAUGCAAAAAUGGAGUCAAAGAGCAACUAGGCCUUAGGCCUUUAGAGUGCUAUAAAAGUCAAAGAGCAACUAGGUCUCCUGCCUUUAGAAUGC
rnacentral:lncRNA from 1 species